ensembl:lncRNA
CAAAGGUCAACAGAGCGGGGCCAAGGCGGGCUGGGGAAGCGAGAUGUACCAGGGUGCAGCCCCAGGGAUCAGAGGACGGGACGGACGAGGCACCAACAGCGUACGGCCACGUAGGCCCCUGUGGCCAAGACGCGGCAAGAGGUACAGAACCGACGGUGGAGGUGGGGCGGCCGCGAGCGACAGAGAGGGGCCCGGAAGCCAUUCCCAACGACCCGGAAGUGAGGCAGCUUCCGCGUCACGCCACGGAAUCUCACUGCCAGGAGCCUCCAGCACAGGAGCGGUCCCCCGGCACCCCGGACGUCUCCUGCCUUUCCUGGCCCCCAUGGGCCCCCCUCUUGGGGCUCGCGCCCACCACCACCAGCACCCAGAGCCACAGCUGGCCCCGGAGAACUCUCUCGCCGAGUACUGUCGCCUCCACGGCCCUCACAGGCAACUUGCUCUGCCCAGCUUCCCCCCUCAGGGACUGAGGGCGCUUCUCUGCCCAGAGAUGCCACCAGCCAUGGAGGCCAGGGAAGGACACCCACACGAGGCGAGGGCGGUUAGGUCCUAAACAGGGCAAGAAUAUUGGCAUGGGUUGCCAUUUCCUCCUCCAAGGGAUCUUCCCAACCCAGUAAUAGAACCUGUGUCCCCUGUCUCCUGCUUGGCAGGUGGAUCAUUGUGACCUGGGAAGCCUUUAGUAUGAGGGCACAGAAUGCUUACUUUCUGGUCUCCAUCUUGAAUUCCUUAAAGGAUGUGUUGAAGCUCAGUGACUGAGUGGCUCCUGACUUAAUGAGUGGCUCCUGACUUAAUUCUUGUAGAACUGAUACUGAAAACUGGUUCCCCUGUGCCAAAUCAAAUCUUGGAGAAGAGUUUUGGGUGAGGUAGAAAAUACUAGGUUUAUGGCUUUGCCAGGCAAAGGGGGACACAGGAGUUCAUGCCCUCAAAAUUCUGUGUCCCCAGAAAUUGUGAGAUAAUAAAUAUUUGUUGCUUUAAGUCACUGAAUGGUAGCAAUAGGCAACUAAUACAAUAUUCACGUUACCCCAUUGUUACAAUAAAAAUAAAACAACUCUGUGUCCCAACAUCUGUGCAAGUUUUUUUUCAUAUCAGGUUGAUUUUAUUUAACUUUCCUUAUUGAUGUAUGCUGUUGGUGUAAGAUUCAAUGUCUGUACUGUUGGCCAUGUCUCAGUGCGAGACCCCCGAAGACUCCUGAAGUCUCUAGCUGUGCUCUGAAGUCACUGGCUGCCCACGGGUCCAGUUGGAAUGGCAGGGCUCUCCACGAUCUCUGUGACCUCCUCCGCUUUGUCCUGAUUUAGCUCUUCAUUCACCUUGGAACACUGGCUACAGAGCUUUGAAUCUCUGGUUUUCUUAAGUUUCUUAGAGGUGGAAGAUCUCUGAGAAGCUUUCCUGGCCACCUUUUCUUGAAUGUGCUUAUUCACCCU